rnacentral:rRNA from 1 species
CCUACGGGAGGCUGCAGUGAGGGAUAUUGGUCAAUGGGGGAAACCCUGAACCAGCAACGCCGCGUGAGUGAAGAAGGGUUUCGGCUCGUAAAGCUCUGUUGGUAGUGAAGAAAGAUAGAGGUAGUAACUGGCCUUUAUUUGACGGUAAUUACUUAGAAAGUCACGGCUAACUACGUGCCAGCAGCCGCGGUAAUACGUAGGUGGCAAGCGUUGUCCGGAUUUAUUGGGCGUAAAGCGAGUGCAGGCGGUUCAAUAAGUCUGAUGUGAAAGCCUUCGGCUCAACCGGAGAAUUGCAUCAGAAACUGUUGAACUUGAGUGCAGAAGAGGAGAGUGGAACUCCAUGUGUAGCGGUGGAAUGCGUAGAUAUAUGGAAGAACACCAGUGGCGAAGGCGGCUCUCUGGGCUGCAACUGACGCUGAGGCUCGAAAGCAUGGGUAGCGAACAGGAUUAGAUACCCGUGUAGUC